rnacentral:lncRNA from 1 species
UAAAUUGGCUCAGCUGAAGUGAUAUCUUGAAUGUUUUUAGACAUUUGGGAAUGGAAGAGAAGCUGAUGUAGAGACUAGAGCAUAGCUGCCUCAUUACUCUUGGUCUAGCCCAAGGUGACAAACCAAAGAAGGAGGCUCACGGAGAUCUGGAAAUAUCAGCCUGCGUUUGAUGGUUUCCCUUCAGCUUCACAGAACCUGCAGAACUGUAGUCAUAGGUUAACAUGGCUCACAGCGCUGGAUAGAUGGAGUCUUACGUCCCUGCACAAAGCUGGGACAAUCAAUUAGCAGGUCAAUCCAAAAUGAAUCCCUCCCAUCACCCUUUUUCCUGGAAUUACAGGUCUGUGAAGGAGAAAAGCCCUAAAAGACCCGGCUUUGAAGGAGCUGCUGAUAGCCAGAAACCAUGGUACUUUACCACAGUGCUGCAUAUUGGAGCACAGCACAGAUAUCACCACGCUGACUGCAGAGGGGACAUGCAUCCGUCGGGAAUGGCGUGGCACCAUAAGGAGUCUCUAGCUUGGAUUCUGAAAGCAAAAGAACCACAGCUGUGUGAUACUGCACCUAAAAUACUAUGUCCUCCAUCUUGA